AAACGGCACGCUGACGCUCAGUUCCUCACCAUGCUACACGUGUAAGAACAGGAAGACAUUUGUCCCUUUCGGUGAGAAUGCCACUGGUGAGUCGUUCCAUGCCAUAUAUAUGGACUGUGAGAGUUGCUUUGUUGGGCGGCACCCUUACGCUGGGAACGGACAAGGCUGCUCCUUGUGGCGCCGUUACGACUCGAUGGCUCGACCAAACGACUGCUGCGAAUUCAUUUACGACGAAAACUGCGGCUCUUCUCCAAAGUACAAAAUGUACGAUUCUACAUGCAGCUGGUAAAUGACAUCAUCUGCAACAACCACUUAGGAAUGCUCUCUCCACUUAGACGGAAAGCAGGCAACACCUGCGUUUCAAGAAUAAAGCAUAUAGUUUUUCCCAACACACAAUAAACUCUGAAUCAGUUCAGGCAGCUAAAUUACAUGCGUCUCCUGGACUACCUAUGAAACUAAUAGACAAUUAAUUCAAUAAAAACAUAGGGGACAUUAUUUGUUUUUAGCUGUAGCGUAAACCUUACGACCGAAAUUGAAAGGAAUUAUAGUGGACGACCAAACACUAUUUCUGUCGGUGGGAUCCGAACCCACAACCUUCGAAUUACGCU